UACGAAGGGGGCUAGCGUUACUCGGAAUUACUGGGCGUAAAGGGCGCGUAGGCGGCGUUCCAAGUCAGGCGUGAAAGCCCUGGGCUCAACCUGGGGACUGCGCUUGAUACUGGAGUGCUUGAGGAUGGAAGAGGGUUGUGGAAUUCCCAGUGUAGAGGUGAAAUUCGUAGAUAUUGGGAAGAACACCGGUGGCGAAGGCGGCAACCUGGUCCAUUUCUGACGCUGAGGCGCGAUAGCGUGGGGAGCAAACAGGAUUAGAUACCCUGGUAGUCCACGCCGUAAACGAUGUGCGCUGGAUGUUGGGUGACCUAGUCACUCAGUGUCGUAGCUAACGCGGUAAGCGCACCGCCUGGGGAGUACGGCCGCAAGGUUGAA
rnacentral:rRNA from 1 species